rnacentral:rRNA from 1 species
GGAGGGUGCGAGCGUUGUCCGGAAUCACUGGGCGUAAAGGGCGCGUAGGCGGCCUGAUAAGUGGGGGGUGAAAUCCUGUGGCUUAACCGCAGGGCUGCCUUCUAAACUGUCGGGCUCGAGCACAGUAGAGGCAGGUGGAAUUCCCGGUGUAGCGGUGGAAUGCGUAGAGAUCGGGAAGAACAUCAGUGGCGAAGGCGGCCUGCUGGGCUGUUGCUGACGCUGAGGCGCGACAGCGUGGGGAGCAAACAGGAUUAGAUACCCUGGUAGUCCACGCCGUAAACGAUGGGCACUAGGCGUCGGGGGGAGCGACCCUCCCGGUGCCGUCGCUAACGCAGUAAGUGCCCCGCCUGAGGAGUACGGCCGCAAAGCUG